GUUUAUAUAGUUUAAAAAAAACAAUACAUUUUCAUUGUAUAGAUAAUGUUUUAUUAUAUUUAUAAAUA
rnacentral:tRNA from 1 species